AUGAGCUUCACCUGUGGAGUUUGUGUUUGGCGCAGGAACACGGAAUAUGACUUCGGAAUGAAUACAGGAAACUGAGAUUUGAAGAAUUUUGUUUUUAUUUAUUUAAGAAAUAUAACUAAUUUCAAAAUGGACACUAGGUGAAGCGUUUUGGGACAACAGAUGGUAAGCCGUUUCCAGGAGUUUUGAAGGCCAGAUCACAAGAACAAGAUGUGCCGAGAGAGCUUCCUGUGACUGAACCUGAAGAGACUGGCUGUCCAGGACACACAGCCUCCACCAAGGAGUUGAUGCGGAGACCUGUGACAGCUGGAGCCGGAGACAUAACCUUUGAACACAAGUGUUUUCACCAAACACACUUCAGGGAAAGUACAGUGCUGUGCUGUAAGGCGGUAGCUUAUUUCUUUACAUUUUGUUUCUAGUAAGGAUUAAGACUUUUUGGGGUGUUUAAGUUGGCUUCUUACUUUACUUUGGUUGUUUUUCACUAAUCUCCAGCCCAAUUCCUGACAAUUUUCAGUAGAAUCCCUUGUCGUUUAGGCCACACAUCCCAUUGGCUUGUGAAAACAUGCAUAUUUUAUCAACCUCUAAAUAUAAACCAUUUUUAAAAAAUGCACAAAGUUGUGUUCAUCUCUAGGAAGUGCAGUAUAAACCAACUAUUGUCUGGUUUACAGUUGUAUAGCCUUCUAAUGAUAUGCAAAUAUCUAAAUUUGUGACACAAAGGGAUGAAAGAUUUAUCAGUUACUGGGUUAAUAAUGAUAAACUUCUGACCUUUUAAAAGAAGCGUAGUUUGGUUGAGGUUAAUUUAGGAUCAAAUCAGUAAAAUGCCUAAUUAAUAAACUUGGUCAUUUGCAUUUUAAUUGAAAAGUUGUACCUCAUAUCGACAUGUCACCAACAUAUCAUAUGUGCGGUCGCUUAUUGCAUCAAUAUGACUGAUUUAUGCAACAGGUGACAUUUAUUGUUAAUCUGAUCUGCUUUAUUAACAUGCAGCUGAUUUAUCCAUCCAAAUUACCGAUAUCUAAAACAUGUGCUUAUGAGUUGACUUUUUCAGCCUUUGAAUAUACUUUCCAUUCUUCUGAUUGCUCUUUUUUUUCACUUAGUCUCUUUUUAUUGAUUUUUCUGUUCCAUUUCCUCCAAAAUAUCCAUUAAAGUUGGUAAAAUAUGA